rnacentral:lncRNA from 1 species
AAAUCUAUAUUCACUAACACCCAAUCAACUGCCAUGUCACUAAACUGAGCACUCUUAUAUCGACCGCCAUGUCACUAAACUGAACACAUUUAUAUCGACCGCCAUGUCACUAAACUGAGCACAUUUAUAUUGACUGUCAUAUCGUUAAACUAUACAAUCUAUAUCCAAUCGACCGCCAUGUCAUUAAACUGAGCACUUCUAUAUCGACCGCCAUGUCAUUAAACUGAACAACCCUUAUCCAAUCGACCGCCAUAUCACUAAACUGAGCACUCUUAUAUCGACCGCCAUGUCACUAAACUGAGCACAUUUAUAUCGACCGUUAUGUUACUAAACUAAGCACAUUUAUAUUUGACCAUCGUGUCAUUAAACUACACAAUCUAUAUCCAAUCGACCGUCAUGUCAUUAAACUGAGCAUUUUUAUAUUGACCGCCAUGUCGUUAAACUGAGCAACCUAUAUCCAAUCGACCGUCAUGUCAUUAAAC